GAUGAACGCUAGCGGCAGGCUUAAUACAUGCAAGUCGAGGGGCAGCAUGAAUGUAGCAAUACAUUUGAUGGCGACCGGCAAACGGGUGCGGAACACGUACACAACCUUCCUAUAAGUGGGGAAUAGCCCAGAGAAAUUUGGAUUAAUACCCCGUAACAUAAUGAUGUGGCAUCACAUUAUUAUUAUAGCUUCGGCGCUUAUUGAUGGGUGUGCGGCUGAUUAGAUAGUUGGCGGGGUAACGGCCCACCAAGUCUACGAUCAGUAGCUGAUGUGAGAGCAUGAUAAGCCACACGGGCACUGAGACACGGGCCCGACUCCUACGGGAGGCAGCAGUAAGGAAUAUUGGUCAAUGGACGCAAGUCUGAACCAGCCAUGCCGCGUGAAGGAUUAAGGUCCUCUGGAUUGUAAACUUCUUUUAUCUGGGACGAAAAAAGGCUAUUCUUAGUCACUUGACGGUACCAGAUGAAUAAGCACCGGCUAACUCCGUGCCAGCCGCCGCAGUAAAAC
rnacentral:rRNA from 1 species